rnacentral:rRNA from 1 species
GUGACCGGGGCUAAGUCGUAACAAGGUAGCCGUACCGGAAGGUGCGGCUGGAACACCUCCUUU